rnacentral:rRNA from 1 species
GACGAACGCUGGCGGCGUGCUUAACACAUGCAAGUCGAACGGAAAGGCCUCUUUCGGGGGGUACUCGAGUGGCGAACGGGUGAGUAACACGUGAGUAACCUGCCCUUGACUUUGGGAUAACUUCAGGAAACUGGGGCUAAUACCGGAUAGGAGCUCCUGCUGCAUGGUGGGGGUUGGAAAGUUUCGGCGGUUGGGGAUGGACUCGCGGCUUAUCAGCUUGUUGGUGGGGGAGUGGCUUACCAAGGCUUUGACGGGUAGCCGGCCUGGGAGGGGGACCGGCCACAUUGGGACUGGGAUGCGGCCCAGACUCCUACGGGAGGCAGCAGUGGGGAAAAUUGCACAAUGGGUGGAAGCCUGAUGCAGCAACGCCGUGUGCGGGAUGACGGCCUUCGGGUUGGAAACCGCUUUCGCUCAUGACGAAGCUUUGUGUGACGGUAGUGGGUAAAGAAGCACCGGCUAACUACGUG